GAUGGCAUUCAUUUUAAUCGUUUCACCAGCCAUAGUUGCAUACACUGCAAAUAAUUAGGUGUUAAUUCAACACUUGCCAUGUAAAAUUUUUUUCAUCAUUUUUCAUCAUUUUUUCAUAUAUGUUUACACCGAUUGGUUGCAUUACCACCCCACUGGUGUAAAUAUUAACACCAGUGCAAAAUGUAACUCAGAUUUGGUGAAAGUUUGUCACCAUUUAGUUCAAUUUCAUAUUGAUUGACACCAAUGAAGGAGAGCAGUGUUUCUUUAAAUCCACCUUUUUUGAUAAAAUCCGGGCCAGUGGAUUUAUACGGAUUUAAUGGAUUUAAACGGAUUUAUUCAAUUUUGGGGCAUUUUGAGUUGCCGUCACAUUUGAAUAACUACCACCUUUACCACUGAAGUUGAAAGUUCCACCAAUUCCACCAAAAAAAUAAAUUACUGACUUAAGAAAUUAAUUUGAGAAAUUAAACUAAUAAUUGUUCAUCGUCAAUAAUAAUCGAAGUAAUCAGGAUGGCAAAGAUACUGUUAAGUGACGAUGAUAUUACCAAAUUAUUAGACUCACAGUCCCAAAGUCAAGACGAAGAUGUCCAGCCUACCGGGGAUAGUUUUGUUCUUGAACUUGCAAAUGCCGACGGAAAAUCAUUGACAGCAAAUUUAAUUCAAAACAAUUCGAGUUUGCUCCAUAACCUUUAAGUUCUUUGUAUAUUCAUAAUUUGUUGUACUUUCGUAACUUUAUGUAUAUUGAUGUCAACAAUGGGGAGAUUGGGGUCGACAUAAGUCCCGGUAGUGAAGGCGGAAUAGCUUCGUCCUGUCACAGUUCAGAAGUAAGUACGCACAAGUGUAAUAUGAUACAAGUAUGUAAGGGGAUUGGACAUUAAUUUCCUAAAUUUUCCAAAUUUUAAUCUCUUGACAAAAUACACAAAUAACUUGACGCAUUUGAAGAAAAGAAGAAAAAAAUGAAUCAUCGCAUGACCUUGUGAAAUUUUUCGAAGUUCGCACGUUUCAGUUUUGAGGUCCGGUCACAACCAUAAAAAACGGAAAUAUACAGAAUAAUAUAAACUGCAUACUAAAUAAUUCGCGAAGUUCUUUAUUACCUGCGGUGACGAUAUCUGACUCUGCCAGAAAUGGUAGAAAUCCACCACUGUGGCGGUGGUAGAUUUUAGUGGUGGUGGCGCUAUUUUGUUUACUUUUGUGAUAGUGCACUUAUAAUCGCAGCCAUAACAAUAGUGCCACCACCUCUGCAGUAGUGAACUUCUACUAUUUCCAGUAGAGUCAGAUAUCGUUACCACUGGUAAUAAAACUAUUUAGAGUGUAAAAUUCGUAAAACUCGUAAAUUAGUGGCCGAAUGGCUGCAACCGUGUCGAUUUCCAUACUUAUUACAUUUCAUGUCCAAAAUCUCACACACAAAUUCCAUGUCAAUCCCAAUUAAGCAUACUUAACUAUCAUUACUAUAUCACAAGCUAAAGUCGUGUAAAUCUACGGCAUAUGCAAUAACAAUGUGUUAAUCUUUUAUUAUAAACUAUAUACUUUCAAGCUAUAAAAGUAUAUACAUAUGUAAUCAUUUUUUUAUAAGGCGAUAAUAUGUACAAAUUUGCGUGCUCUAAAUUUGCAUUGUAGAUAAGCACGCUUAUUAGGUUGCAUGGCGAAUGAAUGUUAGGUUAGUGGUGGUCGCAUGAGCAAGUGUUAAAGUCACCAUCGUUGAGCAUUUGAGCUGAAUUUAUAUUUCUAUUUGUACCGUUGACGGAAGGGGCAUGCCGUACUCGCACCUUGAGCCGCUUAUCACCAAGACCAAAAAAUGGUUGGAUCUAACCUGCACAUUCACUCGCUCCGGACGUUAUUUUAACGUGAUUGCUUUAUAAUAUUAUAUUUCAUGUAACAAAUUACCGUGGUGCCGCAGGCACCACAAAAGUGCCUAGUGUUCUACGUAAUACAGAUGUACAAGGUUGUAAAAUGAUGUGCGAUUAAUAAUUCGUUGUUGUCUGUCUGCGCAUCAACCAAGUAUUGUGUCAAUGUAUGUCUACAAAGAUUUAAGGUGAUUCCGUAAAUAAAUUGAAUUCCUUAGCACACCUUA